rnacentral:tRNA from 3 species
CCGGGUAUAGCGGAGCUGGUACCGCGCCACAUUUGGGAUGUGGAGAUCGUGCGUUCGAGUCGCACUACUCGGACCA